rnacentral:rRNA from 1 species
GUGUCAGCCGCCGCGGUAAUACGUAGGGGGCGAGCGUUGUCCGGAAUUAUUGGGCGUAAAGGGCGCGCAGGCGGUCUUUUAAGUCUGAUGUGAAAUCCCGCGGCUUAACCGCGGGCGGUCAUUGGAAACUGGAGGACUUGAGUGCAGAAGAGGAGAGUGGAAUUCCACGUGUAGCGGUGAAAUGCGUAGAGAUGUGGAGGAACACCAGUGGCGAAGGCGACUCUCUGGUCUGCUACUGACGCUGAGGCGCGAAAGCGUGGGCAGCGAACAGGAUUAGAAACCCCCGUAGUCC